AAAAGUGUGGCACGGGAACUCAGACGGUCGUUUAUACCUUAAAACCACAGAUAUGUAAUAUAUAGAUAUAACGUAUAUUUAUAUCUUUAUAUAUACAUGUAAAAUGAACUGUCUGAGUUCGAAUAAAUGAAUAACGUGGUGAAGUUUAUCUAGUUAGACCGUGGUAAAACCCCACCUGUUCUACCGUUGUCUCGAGCGGCUUUCCAGACUCGACGUGACGUCACACACGCCGUAUCCCGAGCGCUCCCCCCCUCCACCUCUGAGCGCGUGGUCCUGGUCGCGAGCACAUGGAAGUGAGGUUUGAGAUUUGUGUCUGAGAGACGUUCGAGCGACUGUCGGGAAAACGGAAUAUAAAGUGAAUUAAAGAAGCAGCCCGAGCAGCCCGAAACGGCAGUGAGGAGGAGACGUCAGGAGGGGCAAACGGAGGAUCCAAUCCUGGGUGGAGGUUUGAACCUACUGGUUAACACAAUGAAACCAAGGGAAGGUACGAUUUGAUUAAUGUGGGUUUUGGCUCGUCUGGACAGAAACAUCAGCAAGGACACUGUGGACGUAAAAUGCUUCUGCUGCUGCUGCUGUGAUGGUGGUGUUGCAGACCCCCCAUGCAGGCCAGAUCUUUCUGCAGCUUCUGCACCGACACAUGAUCUGACUAGGAAGGAUGCAAAGGUGGAAGCAGACCGUGCUGGAUUUAGUUUCACAGCAUCUUACUGGAGCAAACGCACACAACAUACUGCAAGGUUUUCAGUAGUAUCUACUUCCCCCUUUUUUUUUCUUUUUUUUGUUUGAGAGGACACGGAUACACCCUGACUGGGCCCCUGUAGUGCUCUACAUUGUGGUUGGGAAGUACCUAGUUUUACAACUGUCAUGCUGGCCUGCUUAAAGGGACAGUGCUGAUCAAUUCGAAGCACAUAUUCAGGGGUCUUUUAGUCACCCUAACAAGGGGGUCACAUGGAUGUUUGAGUCGUCAUUCCUCAUGUGAGGAAUGUGCAGUCCGAAGAGCCGCUUUCUGCAUCAAGCACUGCAUAAAAAUACUGAUUGAUAUUUGUUAAAAGAAUGUCUUUAAUAAAAAGUUGAAUUGAAUUGGGUGUGAGAGUUUCCUGCUUUUGAAAAACGAAAGAGAGAAGACUCACAACUCUACAGGUUCUUUUUAGUCUGAAUGCAUAGUGGAUUUGUUUU
ensembl:lncRNA